rnacentral:rRNA from 1 species
UACGGGGGGGCAAGCGUUGUUCGGAAUUACUGGGCGUAAAGGGCUCGUAGGCGGCCAACUAAGUCAGACGUGAAAUCCCUCGGCUUAACCGGGGAACUGCGUCUGAGACUGGAUGGCUUGAGUGCAGGAGAGGAACGCGGAAUUCCAGGUGUAGCGGUGAAAUGCGUAGAUAUCUGGAGGAACACCGGUGGCGAAGGCGGCGUUCUGGACUGCAACUGACACUGAGGAACGAAAGCCAGGGGAGCAAACGGG